AAAAAUGGGAAAACAAAAAGUGGUCAGGAUAGAUUCCAGAGUAGUUGGAGUUAUAGGGAAAUCUUCACUGCCAGUGUUCUCUAGAUCCUCAGCACUACGCCCUGGCCAGCCCCUAGGUCAUGGAGCCCCCUCUCCUGCCCUGGGCUGGCCACCUCUCUCACUGGAUGAAUGAUGUGCUCUGGCUCAAAGGCUGAGGGGGCAGGUGGAGGAUGCCUGCCGCGGAACGUGGGUGCUCCCUCCAUCAGAAUCUACUCACUGGGAGAGGAUCUGCGGCCGUCACCUCCAGCCCCGGUCCUGGUAGGGCUGUUGGAGAAAAUGGUCUUCGCUGAAACAUGGGCACUCAUGGGAAGUGCUUUCUGCUCCCCAGGCUCAGAGACUGAGGUCUCCCUAUGGUGUUGCCCAGGCUGGUCUUGAACUCCUAGCCUCAAGUGAUCCUCCUGCUUCAGCCUGCCAAAGUGCUGGAUUACAGGUGUAAGCCACCUCCGGACAUCUUAUCUGUGAAAUUUUAGGCACUGAUCAGUGCAGAAAGAGCCAUGAACUGCAGGAUGUUCUCAGAGACUCUGACAUUAUGGCCCACAAGAAGCUGCCCACUCAGCUUCUAGUCAGUUAGGCGUGGACUUCGUCAAUCACAAAAUGAAGACUCAGAGAGCCUCCCAGGAGGACACAAAGUCAGCCUCAGAGAGGCAUGGAGGUGUUAAAGAGGGAAGUGCCUGCUAGAAUUUCAGUGGGUUAGGUAUGCUCUUUAACGAUGCACAAAUUCAUAGGUAUACAUUUUCUGACAAUUGGACUCUAUUAUUACUCUCGAACCAGCUGUUCUCCAGGCUGUUUCCUAUAAUGGAAGGGAUACUUUGAGUUUAUAUCCUUUCAAUCCUACAUCCUCAGAAAUCUACGCUGAUACUAAUAAAGGGACUCAUUUCUCCUACAAGAACCCCUA